UCUUUGGGAAGCUCUGUGAACCCCUUUGUUUGUCAUGGCUGCUCCUGGGCAGUGAUGGCACAGGAGUGAGGGAGUCACUUCUGAGGCAGCUUCCCUAAAAGAAAGGUCAGCCACGAGGUCACUCCCUAUGGACCAGAGCUCAGCUCUGGUUUCUUUUGCAAUGCCCGUACCCCUCAGGAGCUGACUGCAAGCUCACACAGGUGAUGUUCCUUAAAUCCUUAACUCCCAGAAGGACAGAAUUGCAACAGAACCUCCACUUUCAGCUCACCUCAGCUCACCUCAUCUCAUCUCUUACCUGGGCCAGGACAAGUGCUGCCCAUCUCACCCUUCAUGGAGAACACUGGACAAGAGGAGUUGAGGCCACCAGCCUGUCUGCUGUGAGCUUCCCAGCUUGUCCACCUGGGAAUUGCAAAAUUCCAUGUACAGGACCUGGGCUGCCUUUCAGCAUCCUUGAGACUGGGGAGUGUGACAACCCAGUCUGCCCAGUGAUGGAAAGUUAGAAACUGGAAAUGUACCUGGAUGCCACCCUGAGUCAGCCCAAACCGAAGCAUCUCUACAAAACACCUAGAUGUGAACAAACUGCCAUCCUCUGACAAAAAUAUUCCGUCUGAGAAUUUCUGACCAGCUGCGGCGGUAAACACCUCCAGGGUGUCCUUUUUGUCUGAUACAGGGCAAAAAUUAUUCGGGUGCCUGUUGCUCGGGGUG